rnacentral:rRNA from 1 species
AGAGUUUGAUCCUGGCUCAGAACGUACGCUGGCGGCACGCCUAACACAUGCAAGUCGAACGAAGUAGCAAUACUUAGUGGCAGACGGGUGAGUAACAUGUAGGUAUCUGCCCUUUGGCCUGGAAUAACACGAGGAAACUUGUGCUAAUACCGGAUAAGUCUUUACGGAGAAAGCUUUAUGCACCAUUGGAUGAGCCUGCACUUGAUUAGUUUGUUGGUGGGGUAAUGGCCUACCAAGACUGUGAUCAAUAGCUGAUUUGAGAGGAUGAUCAGCCACAUUGGGACUGAGACACGGCCCAAACUCCUACGGGAGGCAGCAGUGGGGAAUCUUGCACAAUGGAGGAAACUCUGAUGCAGCGAUGCCGCGUGAGUGAAGAAGGCCCUUGGGUUGUAAAGCUCUUUCGUCGGGGAAGAAAAUGACUGUACCCGAAUAAGAAGGUCCGGCCAACUUCGUGCCAGCAGCCGCGGUAAU